rnacentral:tRNA from 1 species
GCUUUUAAAGGAUAGAAGUAUCCGUUAGUCUUAGGAACUAAAAAAUUGGUGCAACUCCAAAUAAAAGUA